GCUGGGCGUGGUGGCGUGCGCCUGUAAUCCCAGCCACUCGGGAGGCUGAGGCAGGAGAAUUGCUUGAAUCUGGGAGGUGGAGGUUGCAGUGAGCCAAGACCGCACACUGCACUCCAGCCCGGGCGACAGAGCAAGACUCUGUCUCAA
rnacentral:SRP_RNA from 1 species